UGGAGUUAGUACAUUGAAUUCACAAGGAGCUAAACCUACAGGGUAUGGAGUGUCUGCAGCAGCCAACAAAGGGCCCAAGCCAGGACAUGGGGGGUAUGCUAAUGCAGGAAGCGUUAAAGGACUAAAAGCA